rnacentral:tRNA from 1 species
AGGAUAAUAGUUAAUUAUAACAUUUAAUUUGCAUUUAAAAAGCAUUGAUUUUAAUCAAUUUAUCUUA